CGUGAGAAGGGACUUCAUGCCCAAUCUCCACGCAUUUGAACCUCCCAUUCUCCAGCUUCUUGAAUUUCGGCCUCCCCGAAUGAAGAUGAUAGAGCUUUGGUCUUGAAAACAGCCCCUUGGUCUAUUUUGGGUAGCCUUCUGGUUCUUUAACCACUCGUUGUUGAUAAAACAAUAGUUGAGAUGGAGUUUACUUAUUGUGCCUUUUGGGUUCAGGUCCAUGGUCUUCCCAUGGAUAAAAUAACGAGACGCAAUCGAUAGAUAAUUGGGAAUCAAUUGGAAAACUCAAUGGGAUUGAAGCUCCAAAUGAUGGCCUUAUACUCUCUCGUAGUUUUCUCAGAAUUUGGGUGGAGGUAAAUAUCACACUUUCUCUACCUAGGGGGUUUAAGUUACAAAGACAGAUUAAGAGAUCAACAGAGAUGAAAGAGAUCUCGAUCUCCUUCAAGUAUGAAAGACUCUCUCACUUUUGCUAUGACAGUGGAAGAAUUGGCCAUGACAAAAACUCGUGUAAAUUUGUGUCCCGAGAGGCUGGUCGUCAAUCUGAUUAUGGUCUAGAGAUGAGAACUGGGGUGGCCAGAAACAUAGGUUUACCAGUGGAAUUUUACCGGCAUCAGAUUAAUGAAUUAUCUCAGAAAACAAAACAGAAAUUCGAUUCUGGAACACCCAGAACCGCACGUGCGGCGGGCAGGCUCACACAUACGGACAACAGGAGAGGUGCUGGGAGCAUUCUGCAUAGAAAGCACCUGGUGGCACACGUGCAGAGAGAGUCCUGCUCAUGCGGCUGUUUGGUAGCGUCGGUUUCACUUUUCUGCUUCGUUUACCCUACUCUCAGGCCUCCGUUAGUGUGAUUUGCAUCCGUAAUUGACGUCCAUUUACACUGCAUGGGCAUUAAAUGAAAGUAAAAGACAUUUAGAGCAAUCAAUUCCUAAGUAAUAAAACUAAUUAGCUGGUUAUAUGGCGAAUUAAGUGUGCUACGCUUAUAUCUGUCUAUGUAGGUCAAACGCCACGUUCCAGUCACCUGCAUCACGGAGCCAACUGUGAUCCAGUUUAGGAAAGGACAUAGUGGCGUCGACCUUGCUUUGGUUUUGUCAAGCUAACCUCUGUGCCUUACUAUAAGGUUCCCAUCUGUCAGAGUUUUGAGCUCAGAAAACAAAACAGAAAUUCGGUUCUGGAACACCCAGAACCGCACGUAUGGCGGGCAAGCUCACACAUGCAGAUAACAGAGGAGGUGCAGGGAGCAUUCUGCAUAGAAAGCACCUGGUGGCACACGUGCAGCGCACGUGCAGAGAGAGUCCUGCACAUGCGGCUGUUUGGUAGCAUCGGUUUCACUUUUCUGCUUUGUUUACCUCACUCCCAGGCCUCCGUUAGCGUGAUUUGCAUCCGUAAUUGACGUCCAUUUACACUGCAUGGGCAUUAAAUGAAAGUAAAAGACAUUUAGAGCAAUCAAUUCCUAAGUAGUAAAACUAAUUAGCUGGUUAUAUGGCGAAUUAAGUGUGCUACGCUUAUAUCUGUCUAUGUAGGUCAAACACCACGUUCCAGUCACCUGCAUCACGGAGCCAACUGUGAGUAACACUGUUAUAAAGAUAUGUUUAAUUUAAAAUACCUUUUUCCUGCUGUAAAAUUAUGCUUUGUUCUGAUAUGUUUUCUUAUAUUUGUGAAUGAUGAUUCUAAUUCUGCUUACACUGUUUAUCCUGGCAUCUUUAGCAUCUGUGCACAUGAUUACAGAGAUCUCUGUCAAUUCCAAUUCAUGGGACUCCUGUUUACCAUAGUGAUGGCCAUCAUAUCUGAUCUUUGGUCUUCAUGACCGCCUAUUUGGUCUUCUAGACCGCUUGUACUUAUUGCUUAUGGAUGUACCACGUAUUAUAUUAUGCUUUCUAUAUGUAAUAAGAACCUGCUCAAUAUGUAAUUUGCUUUACAUUAUGUUCAUCAUUUAGAACAUCUUUACGCAAUUGUUAUUCACUUGGCUCUAGCUCAUAUUUUGAUAUAUUAUGUAGGUGAUCCAGUUUAGGAAAUGACAUAGUGGCGUCGACCUUGCUUUGGUUUUGUCAAGCUAACCUCUAUGCCUUACUAUAAGGUUCCCAUCUGUCAGAGUUUUUAGGUGACCGGUAUUCACCCUUUCGCGCAUCGUUCCUCUGUUGUGUUCAGUUUUAUUUUGCUUUUGCAUGUAUUGAGACUGGGGAUUCUUCUGACUUGAUGUAUAUGUUAAUCUAUGUAUAUAUGGAGUUGGUCAUUUGGUCUCAUGAAAGUUUUCACAGCUCAUUGGACGGUUACUCUUAUUUUAUAAUUAGUAUCCGCUAGACCCGUUUAUUUAAUCUAUUUAGUUAGGCCUUUAGUAAUCUUUGAUUAGUAGCUGGUUACGACACUAAAGUUAUAGCGGCAGGUUUGGGUCGUGACAAAUUGGAUUACGUUCGUUACUCCGACAUAAUUCUAACGCUCAACCGGAGAGCAGGGAGGGCCUGAGGGCAGAGCCGGAGAUUGGCCAAACCAAUACUGCGGGUAAUGGUGCACGAUUGCCACUAUCGUUCUCUCCUCCUACAAAACAGGUUGUCCAGGCUAAGUUGCCACUAUGUCUGCCACGUGGAACAAUAGGGGAUACUGCUGGGGUUAAGGAGCACGCUCCACUACCUACAAAUCUCCAUCUUUUGUCACCAUCUAAGGUAUCUUUACCACCACCUCCACCUUUUAUUAUCACUAAGAUUGGGCCUAACCAAUCUGGGCCAGCCUAUUACGUUACUGAGCCUUCUAAGGAUAGCCCCAACUCCUUAUACAGCCCACAUUCACUCGUGUCUAAAUGCCCAAGCCCAUUGCUGGAUAGCAGCCUUUCCUCUAGCCUAACUUCUUCACCAAAAGCCCUACCCCUGUGUAAAGGACUUCCAACCCACUUCCUAUCUAAUGCUUUUCAUGGACUAUCUUUAAAAAGAAAGGCCAAUGAAGAGGAUUUGAUUAGCCCACACCCCACAAAAACUAUCAAGCUAGCCCAUGAGUCUUUUAAAGAUCUGAACCUUCCCUUAAAUCAACUUCCUCCCCCAUUUCUUUUCCCUCUGCCUAUCGUUGGAAAACCUCAAGCUAGAAAGGGUAAAGUGGGUAGACCUCCCAAGCCUAAAAGGAACUCUGCUAGUAUGCUUGAACCCUAAGGCCUAUUCAAUGUGGAGAUUCGGGAUGAGCUCUUUGAAAGGGUGGAGUCAAUAGAUUUGCUAUCUUAGGUCCCUAGUACCUUUCAUGAGAAGUCUCCAAGAGAUGGUAAUGAGAUUGGCUCAAUAUUGGAGAAAGAAUGGGGGUCCAUGCCAAAUCUACAUAGAAUCAAAAAAUUUCAAUUUGUUAUGAAUGAGUGCACUCUCAUGGAUCUCGAAUUAAAAGGUAAUUCUUUCACAUAGCCGAACAAUCAUAUGGGGACGAGUAUUAUCCGGAAGCGCAUUGAUCGGGUUAUCUCCACUAUGGCUUGGAGAGAGUUAUUCCCAUUUGCACAAGUGUUCCAUGAUAUUAUAUUCGCUUUGGCCAUUGCCCACUCUUGCUCAAUACCUGUAUUCCACCAAAUAGAGUUCCUCGUCUUUUCAAGUUUGAAUCAAUGUGAACUAGCUCCCUGAAUUGCAAAAUUGUUAUUCAAGACCAUUGGCAGAUGUCUCAUUCGAGAUCACCAAUGUUUUGAUUUUGUCAAAAACUCAAGACUUGCAGAGUGGGACUCAAAGCUUGGAGUUUUGGUGAAUUUGGCAACAACAAACUUAAAAUCCUCUAUCUGAAAAAGAGCAAUUGGCUAGAAUACAAGCUUCCCCCCUUUCUGAGGAAAACACAAAUGCCCAGCGUUUUCUUCAAGAUGAACUUUCUGACACUAUGCUUUGAGAAGAGAUGUUUUUACACCAGCGAUCCAGAGUCCGAUGGUUACAAUAUGGUGAUCAUAAUUCUUCUUUUUUUCAUGCAUCAAUUACUCAAAGAAGGCAGUGAAAUCAGUUAAUUACUCUUCAGAAUGAUGAUGGGCACUAGUUGACUACAGAUGAGGAGAUAAACACUUACCUCUUAGAUUAUUUCUCUAAUCUGUUCCAGAGUGCGGCUCUAAGGGAUAUGAACAUUGCUUUGCAAGGGGUUAGACAAUCGGUUACAGCUACAGUGAACUUCAACCUCACCAUGCCUAUGUCAGACUCUGAAAUAAAAAAGGCAGCCUUUCAAUUGGGUCAUCUGAAAGCUCCGGGUCCGGAUGGUUUUUCUAGGAUUUUCUACCACCAGUACUAGGAUGUCAUCGGGGCAGACGUGUGCAAAGCAGUCUGGAGUUUCUUUGAGAAUGGAUAUCUUCUUCGGGAAUAGAAUCACACUAACUUAGUACUUAUACCUAAAGUUCCAAACCUAGUAACGCUUUCUCAAUACCACCCCAUCAGCCUGUGCACUUUAAUUCAAAAAUCAUUACUAAGAUCUUGGCAAAUAGACUCAAACCUGUCCUUCAACUAGUGGUUUCUCCCCAACAAUCGACUUUCGUCCUUGGUUGCAUGAUUCAGGAUAAUAUAAUUGUAUCUCAUGAAGUGUUUCAUCACUUAAAAAUUAAGAGGAGUGGGGCUGCAGGUGUAAUGGCAAUGAAGCUGGACUUUAAUAAGGCAUAUGAUAGAGUUCAAUGGGAUUUUUUAUAUACCUUCUUAGUCAGGAUGGGGUUUGAUGCAAAAUGGAUUCAAUGGAUUAUGGCAAUUGUUACGAUAAUUUCCUUCUCUGUCUUUACUAAUGGUAUGAAACGUACCUCUUUUCUCCCCACUUGGGGCUUACGGCAAGGUGACCCUCUUUUCUCGUAUCUUUUUGUACUGGUGGCUGAUGCCCUCUCUGUUUCUUUGACCAAAAGUCUCUAGGACCAGCGUAUCAUGGGGCUCAAAAUCAAACACAGCAGCCCUAUUUUAACCAAUUUAUUCUUUACAGAUGAUGCACUUUUAUUUGCUAAGGUGGAUGUGACGGAAUAUCAAGCUUUGAAACAGAUUCUGGAUUCGUAUUGCCUAGCCUCAGGUCAACUCAUUAACUUUGCCAAAUCUAGGAUUGUUUUCUCCUCCAACACUCUUGUUCCAGUACGUCUAAGUAUUUGUGGUCUCUUGGGUAUUUCUCCUAACCAACAGAGUUCUCAAUACCUGGGUUUGCCUUCAUAUUAGGGUAAGUCAAAGCCUAAGGCUUAUAACUUUCUCAUUGACAAAGCUGUUCAGAAAAUGCAAGGGUGGAAGCAAAGCUUAUUGUCACAAAUCGGCAGGGAAACUCUUAUGAAAGCAGUGGUCCAAGCAAUUCCAACCUAUGCCAUGUCGUGUUUUGUUCUCCUAAAGAAAUUCAGCGAUUACUUUAACUCUUAUACGAGCAAUUUCUAGUGGGUUGGAGACCCGGAGGACAGAAGAAUCCACUGGGCGAGUUGGGAGCAUCUCUCUUUAGCCAAAUCCCAAAGGGGAAUGGGAUUUCGAGACUUUAAAGCUUUCAAUCUAGCUCUUCUAACAAAACAAGCUUGGAGAUUGUUAAAAUAUCCCAAUUCCCUUUGUGCUUAAUUUCUGAAAGGACUUUACUAUCCUUCUUCGGAUGUUCUCUCAGCUGGCCUCAGGAGAAGGGCCUCUUAGGCUUGGUCAAGCAUUAUUCAAGAGAGAGACCUUCUUCGUAAAGGCCUUAGGUGGCAAGUUGGAAAUGGCCAGUCUAUCAGAUUUUGGAAGGAUUAAUGGAUUCCUUGUUCUAUUCAUUUUACUCCUCAAAGUUUGAAACCAGUUGGGUGCCAAGUGCAAUGGGUUGGGGAUGCAAUCAUUCAAAAUCGUAAUAUUUGGGACAGAGAAAAACUAAUGGGGAUUGUCAACCAAGAGGAUGUUAAGAAUAUUUCUGCCAUUCUCAUCUCCGUGGCGGGCCAAGAUAAUACGUUGAUAUGGCACUACAUUGGCAAAGGCAUUUAUGAAGUCAAAAGUGGUUACCAGGUGGCAAAAAAAAAAACUCCAAGUAGCAAGCUACCCCUUAGCUUCCUCCUAAGAAUUUCUAGAAGUUCAUUUGAUCUUUAAAGAUACCCUCGAAAAUUCGAAACUUGUGGUGACAGGUUUGUAGCAACCGACUAGCGACCAAAAAAAAUUUAUUCGUCGGAAAUGUGCUCCCUCUCCAUGUUGCCUUGUCUGUCAACAUUGUACCGAGUCCAUUGAACACCUUCUUUUCCAGUGCAGUUGGGUGAGAGCUGUUUGGUUUGGGUGUAAUCUGGGACUCCAGAAUGGGAGUGACCCAAUUGUUUCAGCUCUCCAGUGGACCGUCUCCUUAAUGCAAACUUGCUCAAAUGAUCAUGAUCGAAGGGAGGUGGUGAGUCGGGCUGUCUUGGUUGGUUGGUGUAUUUGGAAAGCCAGAAAUGCGUGGGUGUUCAACCAUGGUUGUGUAAACCCGUAGCAGGUCGUUCGGCGGGCCAGUGCUUCUUGGUGGGAAGUUUAACAUGUUCUGCGUCAAUCUAAAGCGACUUCUCAACAACAUUUUCCUUCGGAUAACUCUCAUUACAGUUGAGUUCGACCUAUUUUUGGCUCUAUGAAGAUUAAUUGUGACACCAGCUUCUCUCUUUAUGAUGGCAGAACGACAAUGACUGUUAUUUUAAGGGAUGACCAAGGAAAGCUUGUUGAUGGAGUAGUCUCCACUAUCUACUCUUCUUCGAUUAGACAAGGAGAAGCACAUGCUAUUCUCUUGGCUUAUCUAUUCCUCCAAUCUCUGGGUCUUUCGAAUAUCCAAGUAGAAAGUGACAACAAAGAAGUGAUUGCAUUGUGUGUUUCUGAGCUUGUCCUUAUGUGGGACUGUUCUGCUAUUAUCCAUGAUAUUCAGGUCUUGGGAUUAUCCUUACAAGCCUCAUUUGCUUGGAUUCCAAGGGAAGCCAACGGAGUAGCUUACUGGCUAUCAAGAGCUUAUCUUCAUGGUGUUUUUCCUUUUGAUUGGGUUGUAGAUCCCCUUACUGUUCUCUCGGAAUUACUUUCUAUUGAUGUUUCUCUGUAGCCUUCGGGCGUUU